UUUCUAUUUUGUAAUUUCCAAUAACCAACCUCAAAGGUGCUCUUGUUUUUGUUUCUUUUGGAGAAAGAGAGUGAGAGAGAAGAACUGUGUGUUGUGUGUGUAAGAGAGCCAUGGGGAAGCCAUGUUAAACUUGGGAAAGCCCGUUCUCAGUUGGGUAAUUAGGUGAGACUUAUUGAAUUUAUUCGGGUCAAAUAGUUUAACGGGUUAACCCGCAAUGAACCCUUUAAAAAUAAUAAAAACAACAUGAAGGGUUUUAGAAUUAGGGCUUUUUCAGUUUUUCCUCUUCUGAAUCCAUCGCCACUGCAGCGUGGACGGAAUCGGAGUGCAGCCAUAGCAGAAGCAAUAGAAGCCCUAUACUAACCUUGUGGUAUAGAGCUCCUGAAGUCCUCUUGGGAGCUACCCAUUACUACUCAAAAGGAUUUGAUAUGGGAGGAUAUUCAGGCGGAAUUUGAAACCCCUGAAGUUUCUGACAGUAGGACAAAGAAGAAAAUUCUUCAGAUUGUCGGCGAGCACUAGAGGCAGUUUAAAUCUGACUUGACUAGGAAAUGAGCACUUGCAGCCGACAAGGAUGGUGUGGACGACAUUGUCUGUGAAAAAUAUGGCAUUAGCAAGGAGAAAUGUGAAAAAAUUAAUAUAUAUAUGAAUACUAUAAUUUAUAAUAUUUGUAUUUCAUAUUUUUGAAAUUGUGGAUAAUUAGGUAUAAUAUUAAAUGAUUUAG